rnacentral:rRNA from 1 species
GACGAACGCUGGCGGCGUGCUUAACACAUGCAAGUCGAACGGGCCUGUCUUCUUUUUUGGGGGGUGGGUUGAGUGGCGAACGGGUGAGUAUCACGUGAGUAACCUGCCCUUCGGUCCUGGAUAACCGCUUGAAAGGGCGGCUAAUACGGGGUGGUCCGGUUGGUCCGCAUGGGCUGGUCGGGAUAGAUUCACUGUUUUUGGUGUUUCGGCGGGGGAUGGGCUCGCGGCCUAUCAGCUUGUUGGUGGGGUGAUGGCCUACCAAGGCGGUGACGGGUAGCCGGCAGGAGGGGGUGGGCGGCCACACUGGGACUGAGAUACGGCCCAGACUGCUGCGGGAGGCAGCAGUGGGGGGGAUUGCACAAUGGGCGGAAGCCUGAUGCAGCGACGUCGCGUGAGGGAUGGAGGCCUUCGGGUUGUGAACCUAUGUUUCCGGUGGUGAAGGCCCUGUCCGUGUGGUGGGGUUGACGGUGGCCGGGGAUGAAGCGCCGGCUAACUACGUG